AUCCAGCUGACGAGUCCCGAAUAGGAAGAAACGCGCGUCAAACUGUAU
rfam:Schistosoma mansoni strain Puerto Rico chromosome 6, complete genome